rnacentral:rRNA from 1 species
AUUGAACGCUGGCGGCAGGCCUAACACAUGCAAGUCGAACGAGUGGCGGACGGGUGAGUAAUGUCUGGGAAACUGCCUGAUGUAGGGGGAUAACUACUGGAAACGGUAGCUAAUACCGCAUACCAUCGGAUGUGCCCAGAUGGGAUUGGCUUGUAGGUGGGGUAACGGCUCAACUAGGCGACGGUCCCUAGCUGGUCUGAGAGGAUGACCAGCCAAACUGGAACUGAGACACGGUCCAGACUCCUACGGGAGGAAGCAGUGGGGAAUAUUGCACUAUGGGAGCAAGCCUGAUGCAGCCAUGCCGCGUGUAUGAAGAAGGCCUUCGGGUUGUAAAGUACUUUCAGCGGGGAGGCGUUACCCGCAGAAGAAGCACCGGCUAACUCCGUGCCAACAGCCGCGGUAAUUC